CAAGGGUUCGUAUCCCUUAGCUUACAC
rnacentral:misc_RNA from 1 species